UACGAAGGGGGCUAGCGUUGCUCGGAAUUACUGGGCGUAAAGGGCGCGUAGGCGGCACUGUUAGUCAGGCGUGAAAGUCCUGGGCUCAACCUGGGAACUGCGCUUGAUACGGCAGAGCUAGAGGAUGGAAGAGGGUCGCGGAAUUCCCAGUGUAGAGGUGAAAUUCGUAGAUAUUGGGAAGAACACCGGUGGCGAAGGCGGCGACCUGGUCCAUUACUGACGCUGAGGUGCGAAAACGUGGGGAGCAAACAGG
rnacentral:rRNA from 1 species